UCCCUCGAACCGGACGCCAACCCAGUCG
rnacentral:sRNA from 1 species